UGCCCGGUCGUCUAAUGGUAGGACAACGGACUCUGAAUCCGUUUAUCGGGGUUCAAAUCCCUGCUGGGCAG
rnacentral:tRNA from 1 species